rnacentral:rRNA from 1 species
UAGGGAAUCUUCGGCAAUGGGGGCAACCCUGACCGAGCAACGACGCGUGAGUGAAGAAGGUUUUCGGAUCGUAAAGCUCUGUUGUAAGAGAAGAACGUGUGUGAGAGUGGAAAGUUCACACAGUGACGGUAACUUACCAGAAAGGGACGGCUAACUACGUGCCAGCAGCCGCGGUAAUACGUAGGUCCCGAGCGUUGUCCGGAUUUAUUGGGCGUAAAGCGAGCGCAGGCGGUUUAAUAAGUCUGAAGUUAAAGGCAGUGGCUUAACCAUUGUUCGCUUUGGAAACUGUUAAACUUGAGUGCAGAAGGGGAGAGUGGAAUUCCAUGUGUAGCGGUGAAAUGCGUAGAUAUAUGGAGGAACACCGGUGGCGAAAGCGGCUCUCUGGUCUGUAACUGACGCUGAGGCUCGAAAGCGUGGGGAGCAAACAGG